GCCUGGGUAGCUCAGUCGGUAGAGCGCAUUCUUGGUAAGAAUGAGGUCUCGGGUUCGAUUCCCGAUCCAGGCUCAA
rnacentral:tRNA from 6 species